rnacentral:rRNA from 1 species
CAAUAGCGUAUAUUAAAGUUGUUGCGGUUAAAAAGCUCGUAGUUGGAUUUCUGCUGAGAGCGGGCGGUCUACCUUAUGGGUAAGUAUCUGCAUCGGUCUUGGCAUCCUCUCGAAAAACGUUUUUGCGCUUGAUUGCGUGAUACGGGGUUCGAGACUUUUACUUUGAGGAAAUUAGAGUGUUCACGGCAGGCAUACGCCUUGAAUAUAUUAGCAUGGAAUAAUACUAUAGGAUUUCGGUUCUAUUUUGUUGGUUUCUAGAGCUGAAAUAAUGAUUAAUAGGGACAAUUGGGGGCAUUCGUAUUGACGAGUCAGAGGUGAAAUUCUUGGAUUUCGUCACGACGAACUACUGCGAAAGCAUUUGCCAAGGAUGUUUUCAUUGA